UCAGGAUUCCCCUGCAGGAGCUCAGCCGGAACCAAGUGGAGCCGAUUCCUGCGGAGACAACUGGAACCAGAGACAAGCAUGUGGGGAAGACCAGAGAUGUUUGGGAGCUAUUGAGCUGGAUCUGAAGUUUGUUCUGGACCUUCCAUGAUGUCCAGAGAACGGAUUAUUCAAUGAAGAUUGAGUUAUUCUUAGCAAGUUCUAUCAGUUGCCUGGAAAACAUCCAUCACCAGGCGGAACAGCCACUGACCGGCAGGCAUAGAAGCCGUGCAGAAGAGCCCACCACGUUCUCCCACAUCACUGCAAAAAAAUGACUAUAUGCUAAUUCACUGCAAAGGCCUGCACUCUACAAGGACUCCAUAGAUAACAAUGUCAGCAUACCCAUUCAUCAUAUAUAGUGGCCGGUGAUGCAGAUUCAAGUUUGUGAUGCCCUGUGUAGGGGGUAGGGCCCUGGACUUGGACCUGGAACAUUUGACUUCUUGUGACAGUUCUGAGUUUUCCCCACUGUGUGGCCUCUGAGACCCAGCUUCUUUAUCCACAAACUGGAGAUGAUUGUCCUUUCCACUCUUUCCUCACCAGAUUGUUUUAAGGUAAGUCCACCUAAAAUAAAUAUGUAAAAGCUCCUGUAAGCUGUACAUCACUGUGAUUAAAGCACAAUGAUAAUAAGGCCAUGCUGCUUUAAUGUGGAUUCAGCGUUAACUAAACUUAUUGUGAUCAUUUUGGAACAUGUAUACCAAAUAAUUCUGUCGUAUGCCUCAAACGUGUACAAUGUUAUAUGGUGGUUAUAUCUCAA